UGAGUAGACCGGAUGGUCGCCGGUCGCUCCACUCAAGUGAACGACGGGAGGAAAGUCCGAGCUCCAAAGGGCGAUGGUGCUGGUUAACGGCCAGCGGGGGCGACCCCAGGGAAAGUGCCACAGAGAGUAGACCGCCUCCCGGCGUCAGCCCGGAGGUAAGGGUGAAAGCGUGAGGUAAGAGCUCACGGGCACCCCGUGGUGACACGGGGAGUCGGUAAACCCCACCUGGAGCAAGAUCGUGAACGAGGUUGGCUUCGGCCACGGGCGGCCCGCCCGCGUCCUCGGGGUGUAUCGCUGGAGCGGCGGAGUAAUCCGUCGCCUAGAUGAAUGGCCAUCGCCGCGCAUCGGGUGACCGACACGCGGGACAAAACUCGGCUUACAGGCUGCUCACACU
rnacentral:RNase_P_RNA from 1 species